UACGUAGGGCGCAAGCGUUGUCCGGAAUUAUUGGGCGUAAAGAGCUCGUAGGCGGCCUGUCGCGUCUGCUGUGAAAUCCCGGGGCUUAACCCCGGGCGUGCAGUGGAUACGGGCUGGCUGGAGGCAGGCAGGGGAGAAUGGAAUUCCCGGUGUAGCGGUGAAAUGCGCAGAUAUCGGGAGGAACACCCGUGGCGAAGGCGGUUCUCUGGGACGGUACUGACGCUGAGACGCGAAAGCGUGGGGAGCGAACAGG
rnacentral:rRNA from 1 species